UACGAAGGGGGCUAGCGUUGUUCGGAUUUACUGGGCGUAAAGCGCACGUAGGCGGAUUGUUAAGUCAGGGGUGAAAUCCCGGAGCUCAACUCCGGAACUGCCUUUGAUACUGGCAAUCUUGAGGCUGGAAGAGGUUAGUGGAAUUCCCAGUGUAGAGGUGAAAUUCGUAGAUAUUGGGAAGAACACCAGUGGCGAAGGCGGCUAACUGGUCCAGAUCUGACGCUGAGGUGAGAAAGCGUGGGGAGCAAACAGG
rnacentral:rRNA from 1 species